CCCUUAGAUGUUCUGGGCCGCACGCGCGCUACACUGACGGAGGCAGCGAGCGUGUCCUUCGCCGGCAGGUGCGGGCAAUCUUGCGAGUCUCCGUCGUGCUGGGGAUAGAUGGUUGCAAUUGUCGAUCUUGAACGAGGAAUUCCUAGUAAGCGCGAGUCAUCAGCUCGCGCUGAUUACGUCCCUGCCCUUUGUACACACCGCCCGUCGCUACUACAGAGUGCCCGUGUCCAAGAAACGGUCGGACCUGUGCGGCCUCUCCGGGCGACCGGGGGGCCGUUACGGGGAAGACCCUUUAUUUGACGCGGGUCGAUGAAGUAAAAGUCGUAACA
rnacentral:rRNA from 1 species